rnacentral:rRNA from 1 species
CUACGGGAGGCAGCAGUGGGGAAUUUUCCGCAAUGGGCGAAAGCCUGACGGAGCAAUACCGCGUGAGGGAAGACGGCCUAUGGGUUGUAAACCUCUUUUUUCAGGGAGGAAUAAAUGACGUGUACCUGAAGAAUAAGCAUCGGCUAACUCCGUGCCAGCAGCCGCGGUAAGACGGAGGAUGCAAGUGUUAUCCGGAAUCACUGGGCGUAAAGCGUCUGUAGGUUGUUAAACAAGUCAACUGUUAAAUCUUGAGGCUCAACUUCAAAAUCGCAGUCGAAACUGUUUGACUAGAGUAUAGUAGGGGUAAAGGGAAUUUCCAGUGGAGCGGUGAAAUGCGUAGAUAUUGGAAAGAACACCGAUGGCGAAGGCACUUUACUGGGCUAUUACUGACACUCAGAGACGAAAGCUAGGGUAGCAAAUGGGAUUAGAUACCCCAGUAGUCCUAGCCGUAAACAAUGGAUACUAGAUGUUGGGCAGAUCGACCUGUUCAGUAUUAAAGCUAACGCGUUAAGUAUCCCGCCUGGGAAGUAUGCGCGCAAGCGUGAAACUCAAAG